UACGGAGGGUGCAAGCGUUAUCCGGAUUCACUGGGUUUAAAGGGUGCGUAGGUGGAUUUAUAAGUCAGUGGUGACAGCCCCGAGCUCAACUUGGGAAUUGCCAUUGAUACUGUAGAUCUUGAGUGCGGUUGAGGUAGGCGGAAUGUUACAUGUAGCGGUGAAAUGCUUAGAUAUGUAACAGAACACCAAUUGCGAAGGCAGCUUACCAAGCCGAUACUGACACUGAUGCACGAAAGCGUGGGGAUCAAACAGG
rnacentral:rRNA from 1 species